rnacentral:rRNA from 1 species
CCUACGGGCGGCAGCAGUGGGGAAUAUUGCACAAUGGGGGAAACCCUGAUGCAGCGACGCCGCGUGAGUGAAGAAGUAUUUCGGUACGUAAAGCUCUAUCAGCAGGGAAGAAAAUGACGGUACCUGACUAAGAAGCCCCGGCUAACUACGUGCCAGCAGCCGCGGUAAUACGUAGGGGGCAAGCGUUAUCCGGAUUUACUGGGUGUAAAGGGAGCGUAGACGGCAGCACAAGUCUGGAGUGAAAUCCCGGGGCUUAACCCCGGAACUGCUUUGGAAACUGUUCGGCUGGAGUGCAGGAGGGGUAAGCGGAAUUCCUAGUGUAGCGGUGAAAUGCGUAGAUAUCAUGAGGAACUCCGAUCGCGAAGGCAAGUGACCGGAGUGCAACUGACGCUGAGGCUCGAAAGUGCGGGUAUCAAACAGGAUUAGAUACCCCUGUAGUC